rnacentral:rRNA from 1 species
UACGAAGGGACCUAGCGUAGUUCGGAAUUACUGGGCUUAAAGAGUUCGUAGGUGGUUGAAAAAGUUAGUGGUGAAAUCCCAGAGCUUAACUCUGGAACUGCCAUUAAAACUUUUCAGCUAGAGUAUGAUAGAGGAAAGCAGAAUUUCUAGUGUAGAGGUGAAAUUCGUAGAUAUUAGAAAGAAUACCAAUUGCGAAGGCAGCUUUCUGGAUCAUUACUGACACUGAGGAACGAAAGCAUGGGUAGCGAAGAGGAUUAGAUACCCUCGUAGUCCAUGCCGUAAACGAUGUGUGUUAGACGUUGGAAAUUUAUUUUCAGUGUCGCAGCGAAAGCGAUAAACACACCGCCUGGGGAGUACGACCGCAAGGUUAAAACUCAAAUGAAUUGACGGGGACCCGCACAAGUAGUGGAGCAUGUGGUUUAAUUCGAAGAUACGCGCAGAACCUUACCAACACUUGACAUGUUCGUCGCGACUCUAAGAGAUUAGAGUUUUCGGUUCGGCCGGACGAAACACAGGUGCUGCAUGGCUGUCGUCAGCUCGUGUCGUGAGAUGUUGGGUUAAGUCCCGCAACGAGCGCAACCCUCACUUUUAGUUGCCAUCAUUAAGUUGGGCACUCUGAAAGAACUGCCAGUGAUAAGCUGGAGGAAGGUGGGGAUGACGUCAAGUCCUCAUGGCCCUUACGUGUUGGGCUACACACGUGCUACAAUGGUAUCUACAACAGGAAGCAAGACUGCGAGGUCAAGCAAAUCCUUAAAAGAUACCUCAGUUCGGAUUGCACUCUGCAACUCGAGUGCAUGAAGCUGGAAUUACUAGUAAUCGUGGAUCAGCGUGCCACGGUGAAUGCGUUCCCGGGUCG